GAUGAUAGUUAGAUCUUUAAAGAGAGUAGAAAAUAGAAGGAAAGAAAAAACGAAAAAAGUAACAAAUUGGUCUUUUUUCCUCGUUGUUUGUAUAGUUUUUCUUUUUCUUUUUUUUUUUUUUUUUUUAAAUUGACUUCAAAUUUUUUCAAUUUUUGCGUUCACGCAUGCAAAUAGUCACGCAUGCUCGUGUGUAUGUGUGUGAGAGAAUGAAUAUGCUCGGUUGAAAAAGGGACGGACUCUAGCAAAAAAAAUGGCAUACAUAUGUACGUUGUACCGUUAUGACGUAUACGACAAGCCGGCGUUUGUAUAUGUAACGGUUUUUGGUUCUAUUCGAACGUUUCAUUUUCAGUUCACUUCUUAGUUUAGUAUUGAAUCGCGAGACGUCGGUUGUUAUUGUUGAACGCGCUUAAAUCAAACAGCGAAUGAUUUUAAAAAUCAAUUAAAGUGAUACGCAGAAACUUUUCUUUGACUAGUUGCACUCAGCCCAAAAGAUACAACGCCAACAACAACAGUCAAUUAGUUGAGUUGAUUUUUCUAUGAAGCAAAGAAAAGGCAAAACAAACAAAGAAAAAGAACGACGAAUAGAAAAAGUGAGAGCAAAAGCUGUGUGUGUGUAUAUGUAUGUGUAGAAGUAAUAUACAAAAAUACAUACAUAUAUUUCCAUACGCACAAACAAGCAGAAAAUUACAAACACGAAAUUGCAGCCAAAGCAAAAUCCAAAACCGAUACUGAAACUGAAAUUGAAACAAGAAAAAACUGAAAAUAUGCACAGCAACAACAGCGGCGGCGGCGGUAAUUACCCCAACAACAAUCACACCGGCAGCAGCUACAACAACAGAAUCAAUAUCAACAGUAAUCAUUAUUAUAAUCAUCAA